rnacentral:rRNA from 1 species
AGCGAACGCUGGCGGCAGGCCUAACACAUGCAAGUCGAACGGAUCCUUCGGGAUUAGUGGCGGACGGGUGAGUAACACGUGGGAACGUGCCCUUUGGUUCGGAACAACUCAGGGAAACUUGAGCUAAUACCGGAUGUGCCCUUCGGGGGAAAGACUUAUCGCCAUUGGAGCGGCCCGCGUCUGAUUAGCUAGUUGGUGAGGUAAAGGCUCACCAAGGCGACGAUCAGUAGCUGGUCUGAGAGGAUGAUCAGCCACAUUGGGACUGAGACACGGCACAAACUCCUACGGGAGGCAGCAGUGGGGAAUCUUGCGCAAUGAGCGAAAGCCUGACGCAGCCAUGCCGCGUGAAUGAUGAAGGUCUUAGGAUUGUAAAAUUCUUUCACCGGGGACGAUAAUGACGGUACCCGGAGAAGAAGCCCCGGCUAACUUCGUGCCAGCCGCCGCAGUAA